CUACGGGCGGCUGCAGUGAGGAAUAUUGCACAAUGGGGGGAACCCUGAUGCAGCAACGCCGCGUGGAGGAUGACGCAUUUCGGUGUGUAAACUCCUUUUAUAUGUCAAGAAAACGACGGUAGCAUAUGAAUAAGCACCGGCUAACUCCGUGCCAGCAGCCGCGGUAAUACGGAGGGUGCAAGCGUUACUCGGAAUCACUGGGCGUAAAGGACGCGUAGGCGGGUUGGAAAGUCAGGUGUGAAAUCCUACAGCUUAACUGUAGAACUGCACUUGAAACUUCUAAUCUAGAGUAUGGGAGGGGGGGAUGGAAUUAGUGGUGUAGGGGUAAAAUCCGUAGAUAUCACUAGGAAUACCUAAAGCGAAGGCGAUCUCCUGGAACAUUACUGACGCUAAGGCGUGAAAGCGUGGGGAGCAAACAGGAUUAGAUACCCCUGUAGUC
rnacentral:rRNA from 1 species